rnacentral:rRNA from 1 species
UACGUAGGUGGCGAGCGUUAUCCGGAUUUACUGGGUGUAAAGGGCGUGUAGGCGGGUUUGCAAGUCGGGUGUGAAAGAUCCAGGCUUAACUUGGAGAGGUCAUCCGAAACUGCAGAUCUUGAGUGCUGGAGAGGAAAGUGGAAUUCCUGGUGUAGCGGUGAAAUGCGUAGAAAUCAGGAGGAACACCGGUGGCGAAGGCGACUUUCUGGACUGACCCUGACGCUGAGGUGCGAAAGCGUGGGUAGCAAACAGGAUUAGAUACCCGGGUAGGUCCCUGA